rnacentral:rRNA from 1 species
GGGGAAUAUUGGACAAUGGGCGCAAGCCUGAUCCAGCAAUACCGCGUGUGUGAAGAAGGCCUGAGGGUUGUAAAGCACUUUCAGCGAGGAGGAAGGUACUAAUGUUAAUAGUAUUAGUAUUUGACGUUACUCGCAGAAGAAGCACCGGCUAACUCUGUGCCAGCAGCCGCGGUAAUACAGAGGGUGCAAGCGUUAAUCGGAAUUACUGGGCGUAAAGCGUGCGUAGGUGGAUAUUUAAGUCAUAUGUGAAAGCCCCGGGCUUAACCUGGGAAUUGCAUCUGAUACUGGAUAUCUAGAGUAUGGUAGAGGAUAGUGGAAUUUCCGGUGUAGCGGUGAAAUGCGUAGAUAUCGGAAGGAACACCAGUGGCGAAGGCGACUGUCUGGGCCAAUACUGACACUGAGGUACGAAAGCGUGGGUAGCGAAC